rnacentral:sRNA from 1 species
CAAUGUGAACGUUACCAAACUGUUGCCUCGGCGGGAUCUCUGCCCCGGGUGCGUCGCAGCCCCGGACCAAGGCGCCCGCCGGAGGACCAACCAAAACUCUUAUUGUAUACCCCCUCGCGGGUUUUUUACUAUCUGAGCCAUCUCGGCGCCCCUCGUGGGCGUUUCGAAAAUGAAUCAAAACUUUCAACAACGGAUCUCUUGGUUCUGGCAUCGAUGAAGAACGCAGCGAAAUGCGAUAAGUAAUGUGAAUUGCAGAAUUCAGUGAAUCAUCGAAUCUUUGAACGCACAUUGCGCCCGCCAGUAUUCUGGCGGGCAUGCCUGUCCGAGCGUCAUUUCAACCCUCGAACCCCUCCGGGGGGUCGGCGUUGGGGAUCGGCCCUUUACGGGGCCGGCCCCGAAAUACAGUGGCGGUCUCGCCGCAGCCUCUCCUGCGCAGUAGUUUGCACACUCGCAUCGGGAGCGCGGCGCGUCCACAGCCGUUAAACACCCCAAACUUCUGAAAUGUUGACCUCGGAUCAGGUAGGAAUACCCGCUGAACUUAAGCAUAUCAAUAAGCGGAGGAAAAGAAACCAACAGGGAUUGCCCCAGUAACGGCGAGUGAAGCGGCAACAGCUCAAAUUUGAAAUCUGGCCCCUCGGGGUCCGAGUUGUAAUUUGUAGAGGAUGCUUUUGGUGAGGUGCCGCCCGAGUUCCCUGGAACGGGACGCCACAGAGGGUGAGAGCCCCGUCUGGCUGGCCACCGAGCCUCUGUAAAGCUCCUUCGACGAGUCGAGUAGUUUGGGAAUGCUGCUCAAAAUGGGAGGUAUAUGUCUUCUAAAGCUAAAUAUUGGCCAGAGACCGAUAGCGCACAAGUAGAGUGAUCGAAAGAUGAAAAGCACCUUGAAAAGAGGGUUAAAUAGUACGUGAAAUUGUUGAAAGGGAAGCGCUUGUGACCAGACUUGGGCGCGGCGGAUCAUCCGGGGUUCUCUCCGGUGCACUUCGCCGCGUCUAGGCCAGCAUCAGUUCGUCCCGGGGGGAAAAAGGCUUCGGGAACGUGGCUCCUUCCGGGAAGUGUUAUAGCCCGUUGCAAAAUACCCUGCGGGUGGACUGAGGACCGGCAUC